AUUGAACGCUGGCGGCAGGCCUAACACAUGCAAGUCGAACGAGUGGCGGACGGGUGAGCAAUGUCUGGGAAACUGCCCGAUGGAGGGGGAUAACUACUGGAAACGGUAGCUAAUACCGCAUACCAUUGGAUGUGCCCAGAUGGGAUUAGCUAGUAGGUGGGGUAACGGCUAACCAAGGCGACGAUCCCUAGCUGGUCUGAGAGGAUGACCAGCCAAACUGGAACUAGGACACGGUCCGGACUCCAACGGUGGGAAGCGGUGGGAAAUUUUGCAAAUUGGACGAAGGCCGUAUGCAGAAAUGCGGCGUGUAUGAAGAGGGCCUUCGGGUUGUAAAGUACUUUCAGCGAGUAGGCGUUACUCGCAGAAGAAGCACCGGCUAACUCCGUGCCAGCAGCCGCGGUAAUAC
rnacentral:rRNA from 1 species